CUUUACUGUAGCUUCACAUUGGACUUUGAACAGAUCUGUGUAGGAUAGGUGGGAGGCUUUGAAGCGGUGCCGCUAGGUGCCGUGGAGCCAACGUUGAAAUACCACCCUGGUGUGUUUGAGGUUCUAACCUUGACCCGUAAUCCGGGUUGGGGACAGUGUGUGGUGGGCAGUUUGACUGGGGCGGUCUCCUCCUAAAGCGUAACGGAGGAGUUCGAAGGUACGCUAGGCACGGUCGGAAAUCGUGCUGAUAGUGCAUAGGCAAAAGCGUGCUUGACUGCGAGACUGGCAAGUCGAGCAGGUACGAAAGUAGGACUAAGUGAUCCGGUGGUUCUGUAUGGAAGGGCCAUCGCUCAACGGAUAAAAGGUA
rnacentral:rRNA from 1 species